AAUGAACGCUGGCGGCGCGCCUAAUACAUGCAAGUCGAGCGAGAAGACGUAGCAAUACGUUUGUAAAGCGGCGAACGGGUGAGGAAUACAUGGGUAACCUACCCUAGAGUGGGGAAUAACUAGCCGAAAGGUUAGCUAAUACCGCGUACGCUCCUUGGACUUCGGUUCAGGGAGGAAAGCGAUGCCGAGGGUAUCGCGCUCUUGGAUGGGCUCAUGUCCUAUCAGCUUGUUGGGAGGUAACGGCUCACCAAGGCUUCGACGGGUAGCUGGUCUGAGAGGACGAUCAGCCACACUGGCACUGCGACACGGGCCAGACUCCUACGGGAGGCAGCAGUAAGGAAUAUUGCGCAAUGGGCGAAAGCCUGACGCAGCGACGCCGCGUGGGGGAGUGAAGGUC
rnacentral:rRNA from 1 species